GAGUUUGAUCUUGGCUCAGAUUGAACGCUGGCGGCAUGCCUAACACAUGCAAGUCGAACGGUAACGCGGGGGCAACCCUGGCGACGAGUGGCGGACGGGUGAGUAAUACGUAGGAAUCUGCCCAUUAGUGGGGGACAACCCGGCGAAAGCCGGGCUAAUACCGCAUACGCUCUACGGAGGAAAACGGGGGAUCGUAAGACCUCGUGCUAAUGGAUGAGCCUACGUCGGAUUAGCUAGUUGGUAGGGUAACGGCCUACCAAGGCGACGAUCCGUAGCUGGUCUGAGAGGACGAUCAGCCACACUGGGACUGAGACACGGCCCAGACUCCUACGGGAGGCAGCAGUGGGGAAUAUUGGACAAUGGGGGCAACCCUGAUCCAGCAAUGCCGCGUGUGUGAAGAAGGCCUGCGGGUUGUAAAGCACUUUCGGAGGGGAAGAAAAAAUCGGGGCUAAUACCCUCGGUCUUGACGUUACCCUUAGAAGAAGCACCGGCUAACUCCGUGCCAGCAGCCGCCGU
rnacentral:rRNA from 1 species